rnacentral:lncRNA from 1 species
UGGCAUCUCCCUCAGAGCUGUUUUGGCUAUCGGUCCUCCCAGGGCAGGGGAGGGUGCAAUAUCUCUGCUGGCAGUGACGCCCAUAAGGACUGAGUUGAUCACAUCAGUGUAAUCCAGUUGGGACUUUCUGGACAAGUUGGGACCACUGUGUAUAAAGGGUUUCAGCAAAAUUUUGCUCGAGGGGUUUCCCAAACUUGUUCAGAGGGGGAAACAAAAUAGUGCUGUUUAGUACAAAUGACGUGUUGCCAUUUCUAAGCUGCUAAUGAAACACCCUCCCUGAAUCAUUCCCAAUCAAACAUGUAUAUGGUUAACUAAGGCUCUAAUUUGGAUUUUUAUUUAUUUAUUUUUUUUGUGCUGUCUGUUGUCCCAGUGAAAUGAGAGAGGUAAUGACAAGAUCUGCACAGACACUUUAUUUUCCCUGCACCUAUUAUAUUUCUGUAGAUUGAAAGGAGCAGUAGCUGGUUGCGAUAGAAAGAAAAGGUAAAACAAAUGUCUGCAACUUGGGAAAAUAUGCUCUAGAAAAGGUUAUAGAGGUGUUAAUUUUCACAGUGUUUAUUCCAGAAUAGUUCUGAGAGACACACAGUGCAGCCCUAGUCUCUCUGUGACUGUGAUGAGUGUGAGCUGCUCCAUAAAAGCUGCUUCUGGGAUAAGACCUUCAACUACUGCUGGCAACAAAGGAAGAUGUGGGCAUGUGGUCCAUCCUUGGACUGCAGAAGAGGGGCAGACACUUCCCAGAUCUCUCAAGGUUUCUCAUAUAUAACAUUCCCUUCCCGUGCUGUACCAGCUCCACCCUGGCCCCAGUGAGAACAGCUAGAUGUGACAGGCCUGGUGCGGUCAGCGUUGCCUCUUCUGCCUUCCUGCCAAUCAGUAUGGGAACGGACCUGCAGCAGCAUUGAUGAUGUGGAUGAACAUCUGAGUUUAAGCUGUUUUAGGGGGACUGUGGAAGAUGGAGAACUACUGGCCAUGUUGAACGGUUUCAUGUUCACAACCACUGCAAAAUGAAGGGGUUAAGAGCCCUCCACUGAGUUUCACUCAGGAUUUCAUACCCUAAGGCAGGCCAGGGAGGCUGGACUGAACUACUCCAAGUGGAAUGAGGUAGGAGCUGUAUUGCAGGGGACACACAUCAAAUUAGAGAGCAUGUGUUAAUUCUGCAGCUAAGAUAUGUCCCUGGGAAAAAAUCACUAGUGACCAGAUUUUGCUUUUUACUUGUGCAGCUUCUCUGCUACAGGGUUACUGUAUAAAAAGCAGAAUCCUGGAAAAUCUAUGGAGAAAAAUUUUUGUUGAUUUGACUUGAAAGAAUACUUCGAACCUGGCCAUGCAACAAUGUACCCUAAUCUUCAUGUUUUAGUCCAAAGCAUGUUGGGUCUAUUUUCUUGAAAAAUAUAUUUAUUUACAACAAUUUAAAGUAAGUGAAGGAGGGUGUAAAACGUGACUGCUCUCAUGUGGUAGUGUUUCACACCCACAGGUGUAACAGGUGCAAGUGACUAUACAAGAUGCAGGACAAGAAAAAUCCAGGACAGUUGUUGUUAGGUCCAAGCCAUGACCUUUGUCAAGAUUCUUGAGCUUGUCUACCAUUGAAAAUACUAAUUGGUGGAAGUGUACAAUAAACCCCUCAGUGGAAACUCA